AGCGAACGCUGGCGGCGUGCCUAACACAUGCAAGUCGAGCGCGAACGACCCCUUCGGGGGACUAGUAGAGCGGCGGACGGGUGAGUAAUACAUGGAUAAUCUCCCUUCGAGCCCGGGAUAACACCGCGAAAGUGGUGCUAAUACCGGAUAAGACCACGUCACGGAAGGUGAUGCGGGAAAAGGUGGCGUUAUUUUCGGAUAAGCUAUCACUUGAUGAUGAGUCCAUGGCCUAUCAGCUUGUUGGCGAGGUAACGGCUCACCAAGGCGAUGACGGGUAGCUGGUCUGAGAGGACGACCAGCCACACUGGGACUGAGACACGGCCCAGACUCCUACGGGAGGCAGCAGUGGGGAAUAUUGGGCAAUGGGCGAAAGCCUGACCCAGCGACGCCGUGUGGGUGAUGAAGGCCUUCGGGUUGUAAAGCCUUGUUGGGUGGAAAGAAGGGCUCAUCGACGAAUAAUCGGUGAGCUUUGACGGUACCACCAGAGGAAGCACCGGCUAACUCCGUGCCAGCAGCCGCCGUAAUAC
rnacentral:rRNA from 1 species